rnacentral:rRNA from 1 species
GGAGUUAGGAAAUGUAGGUGCGAUCAUACCGUGCCUAUUUGACAAAGGCUCCAAAGGAAGCCACGGCUAACUCUGUGCCAGCAGCCGCGGUAAUACAGAGGUGGCAAGCGUUGUUCGGAAUUAUUGGGCGUAAAGAGCACGUAGGUGGAUUUGUUAGUCAGAUGUGAAAGCCUUUCGUUCAACGGAAGAAUUGCAUCUGAAACUACAAACCUUGAGUAUAGGAGGGGAGAGUGGAACUUCUGGU